UCCACAGCUCCACCAGAUUAUCGAUUCUGUUAAUCAGGAUUGGCGCAACAUUAGGACUCGUCGUGAUCUUUCUGCAAGGAUCGAUACGUACGUUGGUUGCGGUCGCGUUACGUUCGAUCGCAUGUCAACAUUGGCGAACGACGCGUCUCUCUCGCACAGCCGCAAUGUAUGAGAAAUAGGAUCAUCCGACGAGACCCUACUUACGACCAGCUCCGCAAUUGGUUCUUGAUAUACUCGACGAUUCUGGAGACCGGUACAUCCUCGCCUAUCGAUACCGUCGAGUCCGGCGAUGUUGACACCGACAUAGAGGCCUCGCACUCCACAAAUAUCUGCUGUAAGACUGAAAAUCGCAGACCGUAUUAUUGUUCACUUCGCGAUCACUAUUAAUCAAUCUCGAUAAACGAGAAUUUGAGUCCUCAUUUAAGAAAAUGUAUCAUCAGUUUAAUCGUUUCUUAGAUAGUAAACAGAAGAAAAACUUCCUGUCACAAGUGAGAAAAAAAAGUGUGAACAGAAA